GCCCUAGUAACUUAAAGCUAAAGUGUCGGUCUUGUAAACCGAACAUGAUGGUUAAAUUCCAUCCUUGGGCUC
rnacentral:tRNA from 1 species